UACGUAGGGUGCGAGCGUUGUCCGGAAUUAUUGGGCGUAAAGGGCUCGUAGGCGGUUUGUCGCGUCGGGAGUGAAAACUCAGGGCUUAACCCUGAGCCUGCUUCCGAUACGGGCAGACUAGAGGUAUGCAGGGGAGAACGGAAUUCCUGGUGUAGCGGUGAAAUGCGCAGAUAUCAGGAAGAACACCAGCGGCGAAGGCGGCACUCUGGGCCGGAACUGACGCUGAGGAGCGAAAGCGUGGGGAGCAAACAGG
rnacentral:rRNA from 1 species